rnacentral:lncRNA from 1 species
AGCUUUGUCAACAAUGGGAUUCAAAUGAUGAAAUUUAAUUAUUUGAGAUAUACAGUGAGUCCAUGUGAUUCCACUAUAAAAAAGAACAGAAAAAAAAAAAAAAAAGAAGAAAAGAAUGGGCUGAGAAGAUGGCCUGGUGGGUAAGGACUUGUCAGGGAGGAAGUUGAGGACCAACACCCAAGGAUGUCCUGUGACCCCCAUGGAUGUGUGGUGGAAUGCACAUACCUGGCCUCAGGGAUCUGUCUAUUUCCACUGCUAAGCCUGGAUAUGUGUAUAUGAUUUAGUGGAAAAAGUGGGGACUCUACCGAACCUUAAAACAGACCCAGCUUUCCUCCUUCCUGUGGAUGCUCUCCACCUCUCACUGGAGCCUCCAUGUCAGCCACCUAUUCAUGGAGGCACUCUCCACCUGAGAACCCCCUGCUACACCUGCCUGGGAUUCAGGAGCAAGAAAUACACACUGGAAAAAAAAGAUGGCAUUGUCAAAAACUGGUGCUGCUCAAACUGGAUGGCUGCAUAAUAGAAAAAUGCAAAUAGAUUCAUGCUUAUCACUUGCGCAAGCUCAACUCCAAGUGGAUCAGAGAUCUCAAAACAAGAUAUGCUGAGCCUGAUAGAAGAAAAGUGGGGAAUAGUUUUGAAUCAUCGGCACAGGUUUACUAGGAAGUGAACAGGAAGUGAGGACCUUUACUAGGAAGUGAAGUGUAUCCCCAGGCACAGUUCCCCAUACUUUCUUCCAGUGAUUCACUCAUGACUAGAAAACAGACAGAAUAUAUUUUUUUUUCCUGCCAAGAAAACCUUGUAUAUCUUCAGAGUGUUGCAGAAUGUGCUAGAAGGGCUCUGAGGCCUCUGCUGAUGGGACUGGAUGAAGCCUGAAAUGGUUUUACGAUGCUUCUUCCCUUCCCACUCACUGCACUCCUUCCUGCAGGCGCCACUUCAGUCCUCUCAAGCGUGUGGAGCUGAAUGGAAAUUUUAUACUAUUGGUAGCAGCAGUUAGAAAAUGUCUGGUGUGGGAAGGAGGAUCUAACAGAACAAGAUGGUCCUUGAGGAUUACAUGUGUCUGUGUUGUCUCCCCAGAGGCAGAGACGGAGAUUGACUGAACCACCAUUCAGAUGGUGCUAUUAAAUUCCAGGAGGUACUUCUGGUGGUGAGUUCUCCAUCACCACUCAGCAUUCCUAGCCAUCAGUCACUGGUGAACGAGGAGAGAGAGGGUGGGGAGAGGGGACCUGACAUACCACAUUCUGUUCAGCUCAUGACUUAGAGCUGAACAGCAGCGUGUGCUGGUACAGGGGCAGAUGAUCUGAUUCUGGCACUGGGAAUCUGUGUUUUAGGCAUCACUUUUAUAAUUUAAGUAAAACUGAGGAUUCAAAAACCAC